GACUGAGUGAAUGGUCUGAAUAGGGCUGAGUGAAUGGUCUGGAUAGGGUGAGUGACUGGGCUGGGGGAAUGGUCUGGAUAGGGCUGAGUGACUGGGCUGGAGUAUGGUCUGUAAGGGCUGAGUGCUGGGCGGGUGAAUGGUCUGGAUAGAGCUGAGUGACUGGGACUGGGUGGAAGGCUUGAUGGGGCUGAGUGACUGGGCUGGGUGAAUAGUCUGGAUGGGCUGAGUUACUGGACUGGGUGAAUGUCUGGAUAGGGCUGAGUGUCUGAACCGGGUGAAUGGUCUGGAUAGGACUGAGUGACUUGGCUGGGUCAAUGGUCUGGAUAGGGCUGAGUGACUGGACGGGUGAAUGGUUCUGGAUAGGGCUGAGUGUCUGAACCGGUGUGAAUGGUCUGGAUAGGGCUGAGUGACUGGACGGGUGAAUGGUCUGGAUAGGGCUGAGUGACUGGGCUGUGUGUGAAUUCUGGAUAGGGCUGAGUGACUGGGCUGGGUGAAUGGUCUGGAUAGGGCUGAGUGGACUGGGCUGGGUGAAUAGUCUGGAUGGGCUGAGUGUUGAACCGGGUGAAUGUCUGAUAGGGCUGAGUGACUGGACUGGGUGAAUGGUCUGGAUAGGGCUGAGUGACUGGACUGGGUGACUGGUCUGGAUAGGCGUGAUCAC
rnacentral:lncRNA from 1 species